UGGGGAAUAUUGCACAAUGGGGGGAACCCUGAUGCAGCCAUGCCGCGUGAAUGAAGAAGGCCUUCGGGUUGUAAAGUUCUUUCGGUGAUGAGGAAGGGUGGUGUUUUAAUAGAGCACUACAUUGACGUUAGUCACAGAAGAAGCACCGGCUAACUCCGUGCCAGCAGCCGCGGUAAUACGGAGGGUGCGAGCGUUAAUCGGAAUGACUGGGCGUAAAGGGCACGCAGGCGGUGACUUAAGUGAGGUGUGAAAGCCCCGGGCUUAACCUGGGAAUUGCAUUUCAUACUGGGUCGCUAGAGUAUUUUAGGGAGGGGUAGAAUUCCACGUGUAGCGGUGAAAUGCGUAGAGAUGUGGAGGAAUACCGAAGGCGAAGGCAGCCCCUUGGGAACAUACUGACGCU
rnacentral:rRNA from 1 species